rnacentral:pre_miRNA from 1 species
GAUUUCAACUGAAAAAGUCAUCAAUAAGAAAGUUGUAUAACUCAUCAAGAUCUAUAACUUCUAUUUUAGUCAUUUCUUCAUACGAUAAAGUAAUUUGUAAGAUUGUUCACAAAAUGUACAACAUUUUGUAAACAAUCUUACAAAUCACUUUAUCAAAACUAUAUAAGAGAUAUACAUUUUAUGAACAAUCUUACAAAUCACUUCAUCGGAUGAAGAAAUGACCAAAAUAAAAGUUAUAGAUCUUGAUGAGUUAUACAACUUUCUUAUUGAUGACUUUUUCAGAUGAAAUU